CCCUUAGAUGUUCUGGGCCGCACGCGCGCUACACUGAGUGUCUGAGAUACGAGUCUGCCUGGUCCGGCAAGGUCUAGGUAAUCGCUAAAAGACACAUCAUGCUUGGGAUAGAUUAUUGCAAAUAUUAAUCUUGAACGAGGAAUUCCUAGUAAGCGCAAGUCAACAGCUUGCGUUGAUUACGUCCCUGCCCUUUGUACACACCGCCCGUCGCUACUACUGAUUGGAUGUUUAAGCGAGGUUCUCGAACUGCUAGCGACUUAGCUUCGGUGAGGUCGCAGUGUGGGAAGUGAACCUAGCUUUGGUGUCUAGAGGAAGUAAAAGUCGUAAUA
rnacentral:rRNA from 1 species